UCAACACCGGGCAUUCCAUGAGUCUGUGACGUUCACAGCCAGGAGCACUCAGCCUGUCCGUGCCCAGGACGGGAGCAGCUGUGCAACAGCACAGACAUCCACACCGCGGCUCCUCUCUGCGCUCGGAGGUGUUUCUGGCAAUUUCACCCCGGGCUGGGCUCACAGCCAUGGGCUCUGUGCCUCCUGGGCACGCCCUGGGAGGGCCUAGAAGGCGUCCCUCGGCCUCGGCAGCUGUCAGCUAUUAUGACAUCAGAACCCGCCGUCCUACUCAGCCACGCCGCAGACCUAUGCAGCAGUGCAGUCCCGCCAGGAUUGCAGAGCAGGCGAGUGGGAAGAGGUGCUCGUGUCCUGGGAGGAGAGUGAGCUGUUCCCUGUGUCUGCUGGAGUGAAGGUGCCAAAAUGCCAGCCCAGCUGGGCAGGCAAGGCGUCGCCCAAGAGAGGGGAAGGAGGAGCCCCAUCCUGCUUCUAGCAGUGCUUUCUGCUGGAGCCUUCCUCUGGAUAUUGGCAGCUUGGAGAAGCGACGUCCCGCAGGUCAGUGCCGCGGUGUGCGGCAGAGGCCAAAGCUCUGCCCUUCUGCCUCUGCAGGGAAGGGAGUUUGGCCACGGGCUCCUCACUGCUGAGGCGGAGGGCAGACCUUGAGCCGGGCUGGGGUCGCCUUGGCAGCAGGGUGGGCUUCGGUCUGGAAGCACCUUCCCGGUGCCCAGCUCGGAGCUUGGGCUGAAGGCAGUAGCGCAUGGGAAGAAUGGGCCUUUGGCCCAUCCCUGGCACUGGGGAGUCUGGAGGGGCUGGGAAAGCAAACGGAGAAGCAGCAGAUGCUCUGCAGCACGGGGAGGGCUUAAGAGCCCGACUUUGGGCAGCGCUGCCCUGCAAACCGCUGGGAAGCAGCAGGAAAUUCUGCCAGCGGUUCCCUGGGAAGCUCCUUCGGAAGCCCUGGCCGUGCUCCGUGCGCUUCCUGCCAUGGAAUGCCUUUCUCUUCCAGGUGGCUUCAGCAGAGGCUGUGCGUGAGCUCCCGUCCCUGGGGUAAGAACACUUCCUUGCCCCGCACCUGGUCCGUAGCGUG